rnacentral:rRNA from 1 species
AUUGAACGCUGGCGGCAGGCCUAACACAUGCAAGUCGAGCGAGCGGCGGACGGGUGAGUAAUGUAUGGGGAUCUGCCUGAUGGAUGGGGAUAACUACUGGAAACGGUAGCUAAUACCGCAUACCAUCAGAUGAACCCAGAUGGGAUUAGCUUGUAGGUGGGGUAACGGCUCACCUAGGCGACGAUCCCUAGCUGGUCUGAGAGGAUGAUCAGCCACACGGGGACUGAGACACGGCCCAGACUCCUACGGGAGGCAGCAGUGGGGAAUAUUGCACAAUGGGCGCAAGCCUGAUGCAGCCAUGCCGCGUGUGUGAAGAAGGUCUUCGGAUUGUAAAGCACUUUAAGUUGGGAGGCGUUACCAAAAGAAUAAGCAACGGCUAACUACGUGCCAGCAGCCGCGGUAAUUC